rnacentral:rRNA from 1 species
AUCCCCGAGCUUAACUUGGGAAUUGCAUUGGUGACUGCACGGCUAGAGUGUGUCAGAGGGGGGUAGAAUUCCACGUGUAGCAGUGAAAUGCGUAGAGAUGUGGAGGAAUACCGAUGGCGAAGGCGGCCCCCUGGGUUAACACUGACGCUCAUGCACGAAAGCGUUGGGAGCAAACAGGAUUAGAUACCCUGGUAGUCCACGCGCUAAACGAUGUCAACUAGUUGUUGGGGAUUCAUUUCCUUAGUAACGCAGCUAACGCGUGAAGUUGACCGCCUGGCGAGUACGGUCGCAAGAUUAAAACUCAGAGGAAUUGACGGGGACCCGACAAGGGUGGAUGAUGUGGAGUAAUUCGAUGCAACGGGAAAAACCUUUACUUACCUUGACAUUGCACUAAACGAAGCAGAGAUGCAUAAGGUGCUCGAAAGGGAGAGUUGACACAGGUGCUGCAUGGCUGUCGUCAGCUCGUGUCGUGAGAUGUUGGGUUAAGUCCCGCAACGAGCGCAACCCUUGUCUCUAGUUGCUACGAAAGGGCACUCUAGAGAGACUGCCGGUGACAAACCGGAGGAAGGUGGGGAUGACGUCAAGUCCUCAUGGCCCUUAUGGGUAGGGCUUCACACGUCAUACAAUGGUGCAUACAGAGGGUUGCCAAGCCGCGAGGUGGAGCUAAUCCCAGAAAAUGCAUCGUAGUCCGGAUCGUAGUCUGCAACUCGACUACGUGAAGCUGGAAUCGCUAGUAAUCGC